rnacentral:rRNA from 1 species
UACGGAGGGUGCAAGCGUUGUUCGGAAUUAUUGGGCGUAAAGGGCAUGUAGGUGGUCUAACAAGUUUACUGUGAAAUCCCUGGGCUUAACCUAGGAAGUGCGGUGGAUACUGUUAGACUAGAGUAUCGGAGGGGUGCGUGGAAUUCCCAGUGUAGCGGUGAAAUGCGUAGAUAUUGGGAAGAACACCGGUGGCGAAGGCGGCGACCUGGUCCGAUACUGACGCUGAGGCGCGAAAGCGUGGGGAGCAAACAGG